AGUAGAGUAAUAAAGAUUGAAUUACUAAGAAUUUUGUAUAAUACAAGUACUGCAAAGGAAGCAAGAUUAAAGGAAGAAGUCGUGGUAAAAUAACGUACCUUUUGUAUCAUGGUUUAGCUAGAGUUAGAGGUUUAGACUUCUUCUAGAAUCCUGAAGAGCUACCUACAUGUCUCAAUUUUAGUUGUAACUAGUUACUAAAUGUAGCAGAAUUUUGACUAGAACUGUAGGUUGAAAUUAUAUUUUAUCCGGUUUAGGGGUUAGCUAGUUUUUGCAGAAAAGCAUUUAAGUGCUAGGGUUUCUUUCUUUCGAUGUACUCUGAAAUUACUUACUUAGUUUAAUUUCAGAGAGUGCAGACUCCUUAAAUAAUUGAGGCUAAGCUUAAUUAUUAAAAAAUUUGUUUACUACUUCAGUAUAUCUGGGCUUAAAAUUAGUCAAGAAUAGUUUGUUAUAAAAUAAUAGUAUUUAUAGUUAAGAAUAAUGAAUUUAAUUAAACAAAAUGGAAAUAAAAACAAUAACUUAAUUGUUUUAAGAUAAUGCUAAAAUGAGUAUCGAGUAAAUAAGAUAUCUAAAUUAUAUAACAAUGUACUAUAAACACAUAAAUAUAUUUAUAUAUAACAAGACGUAAAUAACAAUCGAAACUUACAUAAGGAACUCGGCAAAUAUUGUUCUCGCCUGUUUAUCAAAAACAUGGCUCUCCGAUUAGCCAAAAAUGGGGAGUCGGACCUGCCCAAUGAAUUCACAUUUAAAUGGCCGCGGUACUCUGACCGUGCAAAGGUAGCAUAAUCAUUUGUUUACUAAUUAUAGACUGGUAUGAAUGGUUUGACGAAGGACAGACUGUCUCUUGUGAGUUUUCCAGAAUUUAAUCUUUAAGUUAAAAAGCUUAAAUAAAAUUAGUAGACGAGAAGACCCUGGCGAGCUUUAGCUAUAUAAGGACUGAUCAAGACCUUGUUAACGCUUUGGUUGGGGCGACUGAGGGACAUAAAAAGCUCCCUUCUUAGACAGAAACACAUUGAUCCGAUAGAUGUCGAGAAAGGGAAUAAGCUACCGCAGGGAUAACAGCAUAAUUCUUCUUGAGAGUUCCCAUCGAAAGAAGAGUUUGUGACCUCGAUGUUGGACUAGGGUAUCCGGGAGGAGCAGCAGCUUCCUAUGGUUGGUCUGUUCG
rnacentral:rRNA from 1 species